rnacentral:lncRNA from 1 species
UGCUGUUUCUGCAGUUAUUUUUGAGAACUAUUCUGUAUUUCUAGGAGUGUGCUUGAAUCAGAAGAGCUGAAAUAUGGCAUUGGCAGCAUGUAGAUUUUGAUUCACUCCUCUCACUGGCGAAGUCCGCCUCUCCCUAUGCAAUGCUGAAGGAAUAUAUUCGUGCUCAUGAUGUCCCUAUUUAUCACUACAUUUGCAAACAUGACCCAGGAAGUCAGACUCCAUUAUAGCAUCAAUCACCAGUCCAAGGGGAAAUUAACCAAAAAGAGGGUUUUUCUUCCAACAGCGAGCAAGCAAACAACAACAAAAUACCAUCUUGACAAGAUACUAAAAGUUUAUAGUUUCAAAAAGGGACUGGAGAAAUGCACAGAAAUGCAUUCCUUGGAAGCUGUGGUAUUCACCUCCCACUCCAGAAGUUCUUGAACUUGAAACGACUGAAGGUUGGGAAAGCUGGUUUUCUGAAGCUGGGAAAACGUCAUGAUACGUUUACCUUGUUGUUAUAUUCCUCUACAGAAACAGGAUCCCAGCUGAGCGUAACUCCUGUAUUGCCCUCAAAACGAUUACAGGAUUUCAACCAAGGAGCAAAUACAAAUUCUAAGCCCAAUUCUUUGUCAGCUCUCUUCAUCAUAUUAUCUUCGUUAAGGCAAUUCACACAGGAGUCUCAGAGAAAAGAUGCUGUAACCUUUAAACAGAAGUGGUGAAAAGCAGUGCAAAAGACAGUAUGGAAAUGAAAAUUACCACCUUUGUCUGAAGGUUUCAAGGAAUAUAGCUAGCUCCCGUGGGAAGGAUAAGGGGUACAAUCCCUCCAGAUUUAUGGCAGAACUGACCCAGGAUACUGCAAGUAGCCACAACGGUAUUCAUGUUAAAUCAGUGCCAUCAUAGCACCGCGGAAUGACAACUGAGUCCUUACAUGCAGCACUAUACGGGGGCACCCAAAGGGAGAGCUGAAGCCCAGCACCUGCACUGGCCCCAUGGCAGAGCUGCACUGAGUUUGCUUUCCCCAGAACUGGAGACAGGGAAGCAACAAGGAGCCAAGGACUCUGGCCUAAGUCACCACCCACCAGGGCCUUAAUGAACCUAUUUCCCGGGGAAGGAAACUAUAACCUCUACUUGAAGACCACCAGAGGAGCUGGAGAUGGCAGGAAGGCCGCUCCCAGGAGCUACAUGGGAUGCAGAUUGCACACUACCAAAAUAUUGCUACCAUGAGAAAAGCAAUUCUGAUUACAAUGUAGCUCAUGUAAUGGCAGUAUAUAUCAAACAAUACAUACCGCCUAAAGAGUAAUAUCCGUAUAUCUGUAAUACUGUAAUAUCUAACUUUGCAAUAGUGAUAGGAAGUACAGACACUGUUGUAAAUGGCUCAAGUGGGAUCACACGUGGGACAGUCUGCAGAGUUUCAUUUUCAUGGAGUCAAGGAAGAUGGAUUUAAAUUGAAGCAGAUACAGGAAUCACAUUAGAGAAAACUAUAGGAGCACAGCUUACUUAGGCUGGCAGAAUAAAAGAUAUGGUGGAGAACUGAAAAAAAGUCA